CCGUGCGCCAGACCCUGUUUUGGCCCGAUUUUUAUUUUCUGCGCGGGAACCAUACAUGCAGACGUUAUGCAGGGAAAGAUGACGACGCCGGUCAGUAAAUUGUUGGUCGAUUUGUUGCCUACCUCGAGGCCAGUCGGUGAAAUGAGGGCUUCCUUCUUCAAGAAAUAUGUUGCCAGUCGUUAGUCGGAUGCCACUCGUCUUCUAAACAUCGUACUUGAUGCAACCAGCGCAGUUGGAUGGACGGGAGGCGAGGAAUUUAUCGUUUUCGAUUUUCACCCUAUUCUGGGUUGCCAUUACAUUGCAGCUGGCAGCACCACGAGGGAAUUUUUUGCACAAGGGAGACUAGGUGAAUUCAACUCCUCAGAGAUAUCGCCAUGACAGGAUAUCACCAUGAUCAACAGGGUCAAACGCUUCCAGUGGACAACAGUGGAUCACCUCAUUUCUCCCACUGGAGUGGUCCUAGCUUGAAGUGAUGUAUGACUAUCAAUUCUAUUGACUAGCCUUGAGGCAUGUACCAAACGUCAGCAUGUCUGUGAUAUCAAUACAUCACACUUACAUUUGAAAGCUAUAUGCUGGAAGGCAGUCAAGUGGGCUUUUCGUCAAACACAACCCUACCAAUGAAAUGAAGGCAACGGGCAGAGACCACUAAUGGUAGGGCCACACCAGGUGGCUGUGCCAGUGGGGAAGACCCAGCUCAACAAGGUGUUAUUUCAAGUUUGAUCGGAACAGCACCCUGGUCCAAACCCUCAAUAUCAGUGAAUCUUACUGGUCCAUGUGGCUGCUGCCUUGACUCGUGAUGCCCACGAUUGGAUGCAAGUUGCACGAAGUAUGUUGCAAAGAAGAGUACAAUGGAUCUUGAACUUAGCACGAGAGGCGUGCACUUCGUUGAUAACAGCAGAACCUUUGCAUGACUAUCAUAACACUCUCCUUAUUGCAAUAUUUAGCCAAUGCUCCAUUUGUUGUAGCAGCUACCACACAACUACAAGUAUGCAUGGCAUUACCUGGCUGUCUUGUAUAAACUUGUGAAUGCAAUCAAGUGAUGCUUUGUGCACAUAUGCUCCCAUACUUUA